AUUGAACGCUGGCGGCAUGCCUUACACAUGCAAGUCGAACGGCAGCACGGGAGCAAUCCUGGUGGCGAGUGGCGAACGGGUGAGUAAUAUAUCGGAACGUGCCCAGUCGUGGGGAUAACGUAGCGAAAGCUACGCUAAUACCGCAUACGAUCUAUGGAUGAAAGCGGGGGAUCGCAAGACCUCGCGCGAUUGGAGCGGCGAUAUCAGAUUAGGUAGUUGGUGAGGUAAAGGCUCACCAAGCCGACGAUCUGUAGCUGGUCUGAGAGGACGAACCAGCCACACUGGGACUGAGACACGG
rnacentral:rRNA from 1 species